CAGCGGCAACGGCUUAGUAACACGUGGGUACAUACCUUACAGUGGAGGACAGCUCGUCGAAAGACGGGGUAAUACUCCAUAGUCCCGAAAGGGUAAAGAUGCAAAUCGCUGUUAGAAUGGCCUGCGGCCUAUCAGGUAGUUGGUGGUGUAAUAGACCACCAAGCCUAUGACGGGUAGGGGGCGUGAGAGCGCGACCCCCAAGAAUUGCACUGCGACACGGGCAAU
rnacentral:rRNA from 1 species